UGCAGUGAGAAAAUUGAAAGAGAUUCAGGUCUUAUUUCAUUCACUACUCGCUUACUGGUGCCGACCUCACGGAUCGGUUGUCUCCUUGGUAAAGGUGGAGCAAUUAUAAAUGAGAUGAGGAAAGCGACCAAAGCUAAUAUUCGCAUACUCGGAAAGGACAACCUUCCCAAGGUGGCAUCUGAAGAUGAUGAAAUGGUGCAGAUCUCUGGAGAUCUUGAUGUUGCUAAAGAUGCUCUCUUACAUGUCAGUCGACGGUUAAGAGCAAAUGUUUUUGAUAGGGAAGGUGCUGUAUCUGCAUUUCUGCCAGUUCUGCCUUACCUUCCUGUCUCAGCCGAUAGUUCGGAUGGCUUAAAUUAUGAUAACAGAGAUAGUAAAAGACAUGGACGUGGGCAUUCUUAUUCUGGUGGCU
rnacentral:misc_RNA from 1 species